ACUGAGUCUAGAACACGUGUAAAAACAGUGGCUGCAAAAUCCAUUAUCGAUGGAAAUGUGUCAACUGCAGCUUCAGGCUUGCUCCCACCCAGGAGCUAGAUGCCAGUGAUUGGCAGGUCCCCGGAGUGCGCUGCACACCGCCGAUGCAGUUCCAUCUGUUAGAGCAUAUGCUCUGAAAACCAGAGGCCUCCCUCCAGGAGCUCAUUAUUUACCAAUCACUAAGCCGGCAGCCUCGAGCAUCUUCCCUUGGCCGCCGCUCCGUCUCCUCGAACAAUGGCAACUGCUGGUAAUGGGGAGGACCACAG
rnacentral:lncRNA from 12 species